rnacentral:rRNA from 1 species
ACGGAAGGCAGCAGUGGGGAAUAUUGCACAAUGGGCGAAAGCCUGAUGCAGCGACGCCGCGUGAGUGAAGAAGUAUCUCGGUAUGUAAAGCUCUAUCAGCAGGGAAGAAAAUGACGGUACCUGACUAAGAAGCCCCGGCUAACUACGUGCCAGCAGCCGCGGUAAUACGUAGGGGGCAAGCGUUAUCCGGAUUUACUGGGUGUAAAGGGAGCGUAGACGGUUUGGCAAGUCUGAAGUGAAAUGCGGGGGCUCAACUCCUGAACUGCUUUGGAAACUGUCGAACUAGAGUGCAGGAGAGGUAAGUGGAAUUCCUAGUGUAGCGGUGGAAUGCGUAGAUAUUAGGAGGAACACCAGUGGCGAAGGCGGCUUACUGGACUGUAACUGACGUUGAGGCUCGAAAGCGUGGGGAGCAAACAGGAUUAGAUACCCUGGUA